rnacentral:rRNA from 1 species
UACUCCCCAGGCGGGAUACUUAUUGUGUUAACUGCGGCACAGGGGGAGUUGAUACCCCCUACACCUAGUAUCCAUCGUUUACGGCGUGGACUACCAGGGUAUCUAAUCCUGUUUGCUACCCACGCUUUCGUGCCUCAGCGUCAGUUACAGUCCAGAAAGCCGCCUUCGCCACUGGUGUUCUUCCUAAUCUCUACGCAUUUCACCGCUACACUAGGAAUUCCGCUUUCCUCUCCUGCACUCUAGAUAUCCAGUUUGGAAUGCAGCCCCCAGGUUAAGCCCGGGGAUUUCACAUCCCACUUAAACAUCCGCCUACGCACCCUUUACGCCCAGUAAAUCCGGACAACGCUCGCCACCUACGUAUUACCGCGGCUGCUGGCACGUAGUUAGCCGUGGCUUCCUCCUCUGGUACCGUCAUUAUCGUCCCAGAAAACAGGGCUUUACAAUCCGAAGACCUUCAUCACCCACGCGGCGUUGCUGCGUCAGGGUUUCCCCCAU